UACGGAGGGUGCGAGCGUUGUCCGGAAUCAUUGGGCGUAAAGGGCGCGUAGGUGGCCCGGUCAGUCCGUGGUGAAAGCGCGGGGCUCAACCCCGCGUCGGCCAUGGAUAUUGCUGGGCUGGAGCACUGUAGAGGCAGGCGGAAUUCCGGGUGUAGCGGUGGAAUGCGUAGAGAUCCGGAAGAACACCGGUGGCGAAGGCGGCCUGCUGGGCAGUUGCUGACACUGAGGCGCGACAGCGUGGGGAGCAAACAGG
rnacentral:rRNA from 1 species